UCACUUGGAGAGGUCCAGGCUGCAGUGAGCCAUGAUUGUGCCAUUGCACUGCAGCCUGAGUGAUAGAGGGAAUCCCUGUCUCAAAAACAAGAAAACAGAGCUAGGGCUGAGGAGCCUAUGGCCACUCAGCCUGAGCCAGCCAGACCAGAGGAACUGAGCUCUCAGUCCUGUGGCUGCCAAGGAACCUCCCUCGAGCUUGCAGGGGUCGAGAGGGAGAGACAGAGGGACAGUCAACAGCCCUGUUAUCGGUGAUGCAGACUCCAGGAGAAGGGGGCAGGCUUGCAGAUCAGAAGAGGAGGCGAGCCCCUCUUCCAUGUUCCACCCCUACCAUCCUCCUGGGAACUCAGCUUGCCUGCCCUCCUAAAAGAUGCUUUUGCACUGAUUUAGUGAAUAUGCAAUGCAAAGGCCUAAUUGAAGACUCGUGAAUGGAGCGUACGGUGUUCAGUUCCUAGCUGAGGCACCCCUUGGGCUCCAUCUUUCCCUCAGGUUCCCCAUAUUUCCCUCAGCCUCCUUCUAGCAGGGGUGUGGAGGGCGUGAGUAUUGAUCUGUCCUUUGGCAUUAUGGCUGCUGCUUUUACUGACACAACUCCCAGGCCCAACCUGGCUUAAAGUCUUAAGUCGUAAGCCAAAAAAGAUGGGGAGCCAGGGCUCUGUGGCAGGGCUGGGGGUUGGGGUGCACUUUCGUUUUGUGGCAGGAUGAAGUCUGCAGUGGUUUUAUUAAUCAUGAUUGGCCUGGCAGUAGCUGUAGGCCAAGGGGGAUGGGUUUGUCAGUGGUGGUCCCCUAGAUAUCCCUGUGCCCAGCCCUGGCCUGUUUGCCCUCAUGCCCAACAAGAGGUGCUGCCACAGGUUCUGACUGCCCCCCCCCACUCCCUGCACCCCAGAUGGACAUAACCUUGGGGUCUACAGUCUGAAUAUAUCAUUCUCCCCAUUUUAACUUGAGCUGCCUGACACAGGGAGGGUGGGGUGAGUAAGGGACCUGGGGAACCAGGGCCCAAUCAUGGAUCCUGGGGAAAGGUUACAGACACAAGAGGGAUUGCCACCUCUCUGUGGAGCCCUGCUCCUGGCCACACAGCACCUUCUGCAGAGACUAGCUCUGUGGGUGGCAGGGAACCCCACAGGUCAUGGCUGCACCCUCUCUCCAUCUGUCUGUGCCUGCUAUUGGAGCCUGGACUGGGGGAAGAGAUUACUACUCUGUGAGCCUGAGGGAGCCACAUUAGGCUGCGACCUCUGCCCGGGGCUUUGCAGAGAGCUGCUUAUGGGUAUAGUGUCACCAGACACCUUGUUUCAGAGGGGGUGGGCAUAGCUGGCAAGUGGAGCACCUCCACAGCUGCUGAGGAACUUUUUCUCAUUUUUAAACCAUCGUGUCUUCAUUUCACAUUGAAAUAAAGUGAGGUUUUGGAACCUGCUGCCCCAGUCUCAUUGGACUGCGAGGGCUGUUGUCAGGUUACUAGGAGAGGAAUUUGUAUAAAUUAGGUCAAAUUGAAGGUUAUGCUUGUACUGUCACCUGAGUGGGAGGUAAGAGGGUGGAGUCACAGGCAUUCAGUUGGGGUUUACCUGGCCGUCACUAGACUCAUGGGAUUGUGGCACAGGUGAACAUCCCAUCAUUGGUGACAAGAAAAAAGGCUGGAGUGAAGGCCAAGUGGGGGAGGGGUGCUAGGCUGUGGGGCCAGGCCCUGGGCAUGCUGGACCUUCUAGGUCACUGAACGUCUGACUGGGCAUGUGCCCCUGUCCCUUCAGUUGAGGUAGGAUUGGCAGCACUCCCCAGAUAGCAUGAGUGCCAGGAGAGUGGAGGAGGACCUGACGUUUGCCAUCCUGGGGUAGGGUUUAGAGCUCACUAGAUGCCUGUAGAGAGCUAAUGAGAUAGGAAGAAGUCAGCCCACCAUAAUGGACCUGAGGGACAGAGCCUGCGAAGUAAGAAGCGGGUGUGUGUGGGUGGCCCGUCUACAAGAGGGUAAAUUAAAGGCUCAUUGCAGUGGUGCUAUCUCAGCUCACUGCAGCUGAUGGCUGCUGCCAGGCCAUCCCUCUCCAGGGCAGGGAGGCCCUCAGCCUCAUCUGUAAUUGAAUGCCUUUUGGGAUGUUUGGAUAGUCCUUUAUUGCCUGAAAAUUCAGAAAAAAGAAACUACAAUCCUCAUGCCUGUUAGUUUCCCUGGGCCAAGUGUAAAAAAGAUGCCCCUGACCUCCAGAUUUUAAGUGACACCCAAGGGAAGCCACCAGUGCCUUGGCCAUUGAAGCCUCCUGCCUGCUCCCCAAACCCCCAGCAGUUCCCUCUGCAGUCUUCACAGUUGUGUCCUGACCCGUGCGGUAAGAUGGUGAGAGAAGUGCUAAGGGAUGGGAUGAGGGUCUUUACUGUGUUAUUAAAACGUUAAAGUUGUUUUAAAGGUGUCCAAAUGCCCUCCUUGUUAAAUUUAAUUAGGUAAUAAGAUGCUUUAUACAAGCAGAACCAGGUAAGGGAAAGCAAGUGCAUUUCAAGUCCUAGCUCACCUCAAAAUUAGCUGUAAUACCCACGGCAGGCGGCCGCACCUCAAAGAGCCUGUGUCCUGUUCAAAAAAAGAUGAACGAAUGAGGGGCGGGGUCUGGAGCUUUACCCAAUCAGGGGCGCUGGGGUGGAAAUCGUCCAAUCAGGAGCAGCCGGAGAGCAGGGGCGGCUUCCGGGAUUUGGCUGGGGCCUUUGUUGGCUGCAGUCGGAGCUCGGGUCGCCUCACCCUGGUUCCGAGUCCUCGGAUCCAAGAGACCCAGGCAGCUUCGCGGUCUGAGAAUAAACAGAGCCUUUGUUGCUCUGUGAGCUGCAGGCACGUGGAGAUCCGUAGCUAAGACGCCAGGACAUCCCGGAAACUGGGAAAUGAGUGGAGGAAUUGUGACAGCCGAUACCUAUGUUCCAUAUUCUGCAGCUAUCUGGAUGUCCGAGUUUAAUGCCAAAUUUUGUGAGACAGGACUUGGCACCCCCUAUAAGUGUUCACGUAUACUAAAUGAUCUGCUGUUAUGGAAGUAAAUGACAUGUUUAUUGUCUGAAAGAGGUAUUUCGGCUUUUCCUGUUGAGGCAUAAAGUGUAAGUGCCGUACAGUUUCCUUCCUUUCCAUAGAAACUGUGUUUGAGUGAUUUUCCUAUUUUCCUGAAACCUGUUAGGUCAUUGAACAUCUGACUGCUGGGCACCUGCCCUGUCCCUUCAGUUGAGGUGGGAUUGGCAGCACUCCCCAGAAGGUGUGCAGUGCCCGGAAAGCGUAGGAGGGCCUGACGUUUGCUGUCCUGGGGUAGGUUUUAGAGCUCACUAGAUACUUGAGGAGGGCUAAUGAGAUGGGAAGAAGGCAGCCCACCUCGAUGGACCCGAGGGACAGAGCCUGCGAAGGGAGAAGCGCGUGCGUGGAAUAACCCUGACUGGGAAGCAGAAGACCUCAGUCUUUGAGCCUGCAAAAGGAGGUCACUGAAGGCCCAGUUAGUUCCUCCUAGGGAGCGUCCCCUUCAGGUGUCCCUGAGGUUCACAGCAGCCAUGGAGGGAGCCCUUUGUACUGGGAGAAGCUGCAGAGUUCUGGAAAGCGGGGGAUUUGCAGGCGGAUGUGGUUGAGGAUGGACUGGAAGGGAGGUUGGGAGGCUCUUUCUGAGGGUGGAAUUGUUAGUGUCCUGGGGCUGUUUCUUGGCUUUGUCAAAUAAAGCAUCUGGAUUUAGGUAAGAAGUUCCUUAAUUCUAAAGGAGUAUUGCACGAGGAGGAAAGCACCGACUGUAAGAUUUUUGUGGAUCUCACAGUUUAGGCAGAAAAGGCCUUUCUUUCAUAGGGAGGAGCAAACAUGACUAAAGUUGGGAGGGGAAGGGCACAACUCUGGGGCAAAAUCAGAUCCCAGAUCAGAGAAUGUUUCACCCUAAGUCAGCCUGUUCUUAGGAGGGCCAUAAAGAGGGGUUGACUGUUGGCUCAGGCUGUGGGUGGGACAAAGUUCAGGGACCUGGAGGAGAGAAACUUAAGCAAGUUUGGUUAAUACAUAUUUUAUUCUGAUCACCAAAGACAAAACUCUUUAAUUGCUUAUGGGAGGGGGGGAAAGGAAAUAGGAGAGUCUGUGGCUUUGUGAUACCUAAACAGGGAACAUCAUUUAAGUCAUAAAGGAAAGAGUGAUUCUUUGCAGGAAGCUGUUCAUGGAGAACACAAAGGAAGGGGGAUUUCUUUCAUCACAGCUGCUUACCAGGGUUAACUGUCCACCCCGUCUUUCCCCAUUGCUUUCUCUUGCCCAUACAUCUCUUCCAUUUGGCUGAGUUGUAUCUUUUAUAAUAAACU